AUGGAUUCCAUCUUGGCGAAUGAAACUUGGGAGAUAACUGAUCGUCCUUAUGGGUGCAAACCUAUAGGAUGCAAAUGGGUAUUCAAGAAGAAACUUAGGCCUGAUGGUACUAAUGAAAAGUACAAGGCUCGGCUCGUGGCAAAGGGUUAUAACCAAAAGGAAGGUGAAGACUUCUUUGAUACUUACUCACCUGUGGCUCGACUGACCACUAUUCGAGGUCUACUUUCACUAGCUGCCUCACAUGGUCUUCUCGUUCAUCAAAUGGAUGUUAAGACUGCUUUCCUAAAUGGAGAUUUGGAUGAGGAAAUUUAUAUGGAACAACCAGAGGGGUUUGUAAUAGAUGGCCAGGAAGGGAAAGUGUGCAAGUUGCUGAAGUCUUUGUAUGGACUCAAGCAAGCACCCAAACAGUGGCAUGAGAAGUUCGAAAGAACUUUAAUAGCUGCAGGCUUUGUUGUGAACGAAGCUGACAAAUGUGUGUACUAUCGCCAUGGUGGGGAUGAUGAUUGUGGGAUUACAUUGCUUCAAUCUCACUAUGUGGAAAAGAUCUUGAGCCGCUUUGGCUACAGUGACUGCAAGCCCUCUCCAACACCAUAUGAUGCUAGUGUGUUGCUUCGAAAGAAUCGAAGAAUCACUAGAGACCAAUUGAAAUAUUCACAGAUUAUUGGCUCGCUUAUGUACUUAGCCAGUGCUACGAGACCUGACAUCUCUUUUGCUGUUAGCUAA
rnacentral:rRNA from 1 species